rnacentral:rRNA from 1 species
GAUGAACGCUGGCGGCGUGCCUAAUACAUGCCAGUCGAGCGAACGGACGAGAAGCUUGCUUCUCUGAUGUUAGCGGCGGACGGGUGAGUAACACGUGGAUAACCUACCUAUAAGACUGGGAUAACUUCGGGAAACCGUAGCUAAUACCGGAUAAUAUUUUGAACCGCAUGGUUCAAAAGUGAAAGACGGUCUUGCUGUCACCUAUAGAUGGAUCCGCGCUGCAUUAGCUAGUUGGUAAGGUAACGGCUUACCAAGGCAACGAUGCAUAGCCGACCUGAGAGGGUGAUCGGCCACACUGGAACUGAGACACGGUCCAGACUCCUACGGGAGGCAGCAGUAGGGAAUCUUCCGCAAUGGGCGAAAGCCUGACGGAGCAACGCCGCGUGAGUGAUGAAGGUCUUCGGAUCGUAAAACUCUGUUAUUAGGGAAGAACAUAUGUGUAAGUAACUGUGCACAUCUUGACGGUACCUAAUCAGAAAGCCACGGCUAACUACGUG